AUUUCAGUUAAAGUGGCAACGCCAUAAGUCAAAUUGGUUCACGUCCUCCUAGUUAUCAUAACCUGUUGGCGCCUGGCUUCAUUUUUUCGCUGAAAAAUUCCCCAAAGCGUUUGUGUGCUCGGCUUUCUGGACGCCUGCUGAACUCAGAUGGACGAUUUACUCUAAGGAGACGGCAAGUAGAUACACAAUUAUCUACAUAUACAUAUUUAUAUAUAAUAUAUAUA